rnacentral:ncRNA from 18 species
UCUUAUAUAGGGUAACAAAAUGGGUUACUGACUCCACCCCUAACCGAACUUAGGGACUAUAAGA